rnacentral:rRNA from 1 species
AUUGAACGCUGGCGGAAUGCUUUACACAUGCAAGUCGAACGGCAGCACGGGGGCAACCCUGGUGGCGAGUGGCGAACGGGUGAGUAAUGCAUCGGAACGUACCCAAUCGUGGGGGAUAACGUGGCGAAAGUCACGCUAAUACCGCAUACGUCCUGAGGGAGAAAGCAGGGGAUCGCAAGACCUUGCGCGAUUGGAGCGGCCGAUGUCUGAUUAGCUAGUUGGUGGGGUAAAAGCCUACCAAGGCGACGAUCAGUAGCUGGUCUGAGAGGAUGAUCAGCCACACUGGGACUGAGACACGGCCCAGACUCCUACGGGAGGCAGCAGU